UAAGGAUAAAUUCCAGCCUGUUUAAUUUCCAAGACAUUUGCUGGAAGAAAAAAAUUUUAAAGACCAUGAGUUUACAGAGCCAAAAGUUCAGAGGGCUGUUUCUACCAUCCACACUCACAGGGAUAGCAGCUAACUCUGCAGACUUUGACUGAAUCCUGUCCUGAGGCUGUGAUGGCUGCAAGAGCAUUAUCAAUAAGAUCAGACAUAUCGUUCUGCCCAGCAGAUACUAAGGAACUCAGUUGCUUGGAGACCUGCAUCUUUUUAUCUGUGCUCAAAGCAGAAAGGUGCUGGCUCAGGAAGGAGGAAUCACCCAUAGAGCUGGAAACACUCCUAUGUGGACCUGCAUCUCCCGGUAGAGGCUGU